CCGUAGCGAACAGCUCAGUAACACGUGGCCAAGCUACCCUAUGGACGUGGACACCCUCGGGAAACUGAGGCUAAUCCGCGAUACGGCUCCCACGCUUGAAUGCGGGGAGCCGGAAACGCUCCGGCGCCAUAGGAUGCGGCUGCGGCCGAUUAGGUAGACGGUGGGGUAACGGCCCACCGUGCCGAUAAUCGGUACGGGAUGUGAGAGCAAAUAGCCCGGAGAUGGAAUCUGAGACAAGAUUCCAGGCCCUACGGGGCGCAGCAGGCGCGAAACCUUUACACUGCACGCCAGUGCGAUAAGGGGACCCCGAGUGCGAGGGCAUACAGUCCUCGCUUUUGUACACCGUAAGGAGGUGUACGAAUAAGGGCUGGGCAAGACCGGUGCCAGCCGCCGCGGUAAUACCGGCAGCCCGAGUGAUGGCCGCUGUUAUUGGGCCUAAAGCGUCCGUAGCCGGCCGAACAAGUCUGUCGGGAAAUCCAUCCGCCUAACGGAUGGGCGUCCGGCAGAAACUGUUCGGCUUGGGGCCGGAAGAUCCGAGGGGUACGUCCGGGGUAGGAGUGAAAUCCUGUAAUCCUGGACGGACCGCCGGUGGCGAAAGCGCCUCGGAAGGACGGACCCGACGGUGAGGGACGAAAGCUGGGGUCUCGAACCGGAUUAGAUACCCGGGUAGUCCCAGCCGUAAACGA
rnacentral:rRNA from 1 species